rnacentral:rRNA from 1 species
UACAGAGGUGGCAAGCGUUGUUCGGAAUUACUGGGCGUAAAGGGCGCGUAGGCGGUUCCGUAAGUCCCGCGUGAAAUCCCCCGGCUCAACUGGGGAACGGCGCGGGAAACUUCGGGGCUUGAGUUCGGGAGAGGGAAGCGGAAUUCCGGGUGUAGCGGUGAAACGCGUAGAUAUCCGGAGGAACACCGGUGGCGAAGGCGGCUUCCUGGACCGACACUGACGCUGAGGCGCGAAAGCUAGGGGAGCAAACGGG